rnacentral:rRNA from 1 species
AUUGAACGCUGGCGGCAGGCUUAACACAUGCAAGUCGAGCGGGGUGAUGGUGCUUGCACUAUCACUUAGCGGCGGACGGGUGAGUAAUGCUUAGGAAUCUGCCUAUUAGUGGGGGACAACAUCUCGAAAGGGAUGCUAAUACCGCAUACGUCCUACGGGAGAAAGCAGGGGAUCACUUGUGACCUUGCGCUAAUAGAUGAGCCUAAGUCGGAUUAGCUAGUUGGUGGGGUAAAGGCCUACCAAGGCGACGAUCUGUAGCGGGUCUGGGAGGAUGACCCGCCACACUGGGACUGAGACACGGCCCAGACUCCUACGGGAGGCAGCAGUGGGGAAUAUUGGACAAUGGGGGGAACCCUGAUCCAGCCAUGCCGCGUGUGUGAAGAAGGCCUUAUGGUUGUAAAGCACUUUAAGCGAGGAGGAGGCUCUUUUGGUUAAUACCCAAGAUGAGUGGACGUUACUCGCAGAAUAAGCACCGGCUAACUCUGUGCCAGCAGCCGCCGUAA